AGCUCACUCUGUCACCAUGUAUGCAAUUAUAAAUCAUUUCUCUGGGUUUGACUUGUUUCCCUUUUCUCCACAGGGCGUGUGUGGAGACUACACUCACAGGAAGCGGCGUAUUGUACAGCCCUGUGUUGGACGUGUGGCCACACAGGGUGAACCUGGACUGCAAGGACCUCCUGGACCCCCAGGGGCCCCGGGCUUGAAUGGAGCUAAUGGACUACCAGUAAGUCACGUUUCUCCUUUAUUCUGGAAUCAAAGCCUCAUAGAUCAAUAAAUCACAGAUCAGUUGCUCGGAAAAAAACAAAAAAAAAAACAUGUUAGAAGA
rnacentral:lncRNA from 1 species